AGGGCUACCCUGCAAUAGGCCAUAUUCAUACCAGAAAGACAGAUUACUAAACCCCAGUUAGGAUAUAUAAGUGAUACAGAUAUCUUUCAGUUCAUAAGAUUCUCAUUUUAUCUGUAGACACUAAAAAUUGUUGAACCAUCUCUAGGAAAUUUCCAGUUUCCAGGAAAGGAAGAUGCAGUCCUUCCUCUCAUUCUGUCUGUCUCCCUGGCUGUGGAGUCUGGAUGUGUUCAGGGGCUUUUCAAAUAUUUGACAAGGGCCCAAAUUCCCAUGAUUGUUCAAAGCAAAGGCCUUAUAGGAAUUGUGCCCUGUUCUCCUUAACCAUGCAAGGAUACUCCUAGGAAAUUUGUAUCAGCAUAAAGGGACAGUUAUGAAAAGAGUGUGAAGUGAUAGAUUCUUUAUUCAUUGGUAAAUUUUUCUAUGAUUUUGAUUCUCUUUUAUAUCAAGUGGAACUUACCUGAACUGUCAGUUAAAAAUGAGAAACAAUGCCACUAAAGCCUAGAGUAGUCAGCUCUUUGCUGCUCUGAAGACAAGAUCUGAUCAGAACGAUUUAAGGGGAGGAAAAAAGUUUCUUUGGGGGCUCACACGUUCAGAGGUCUCAGGCCAUUGAGAGCAGACUCCAUUCUUUGCAACCUCAGAAGAGGCUGAACAUCAUGGCAGGAGAGUGUGGCAGAGGGAAGUAGCUGACAUGAUCAUCAAGAAGCCAAGAAAGAGAUUUCCACUUUCCACCUACAGGUACACAGCCCACAGCCUUGACCCCCAAGACAGACCCUCUCCACCUGAACCCCACCUGCCUUCAGUUACCAGCCAACUGAUCCCAGCAGGUGAGGAGUUCACAGAUUGGGUGAAGGCUCUUGACACCCUAUUAACUUCUACUAUCCAAAGAUUCAAAGGAAUAUUAACAAGAAGAGAAAACAGCCUCCUCCACCCAACACUACACAGCAUGGUUGGAAAAUAUCCAACAGAACCACAAAAGGCUCUAAGGAUGUAUCCCAAGAGUUGUGACUGGAUGAAUAUGCUACAAAGAAGCCACCUUUGUCAAUACCUGCCAUGGCCACUCAGUCAAAUGAGAACAACUAAGAUAUUCCUGCACCAUCUCUUCCUAAUUUUCUCAAAGAAACAUCAAAUGGUACAAAUGCUAAACAGAGGAAAGGGAGAAAAGGCAGAUCCAAGGACCAGCUCUCUUUUGUCAUCAACUCUGGGUGGCCCAGCUCCCAUGGAAUUUGACUUGCCUGCUGAACAACCAGUAUUAGGCCACCUAAUUUGAUAUUCAGCCAGGGCCUGCCUCAGAAAGGUACUACAGAGCAAAUACAGGUGCAGGUUCUCCUUUGAUUUCAUGCCCUGGAAUAAUUGUGAGUAUCCUUUCUUCCUCAAGAAGAGGCAGAUAAUAGCCCACCCUCGGUGGACAGCUAACCCUGGAUACCAUACGUGGUAACAGAAAAAAAAAAGAAAGAAAAGAAAAGAAGAACAACAAAAAGGCUUACUGACCUUUGAUCCCUUCAGAUGAUCCAAUUUUCUGCAACCCAUACAAGGGAUCAUGCCAAGGACAUGGACUUUGCAGAUAUUCACUGUCCCCAAACCUCUCAACAUGCACUCCACUCCAAAAUCCUCUCACCCUGGUUUGGAUUCUUGUCAGGAAAAUGCCUGGGUGUGUAAACCCAUGCUGCGGGGAAAUGACUGCAGAGCAGGGGAAAGUCCGGCACUCAGAGUGGAAGCCUCCAGCAUCCAUCCACUUCCAAGUCAAAGGCCUGGAGAUUCUAGGUUCUGGUAGGAGAUUGCACUUGUUUGUGUCCCCUGUGGGUCUCUCUGGGCCUUGCGCACCAAGGGUCCCGCUUGGUGCUGCUGUGCCCUACUGGCCGCUCUCCAAAUAUCUUCCAGUGUCAGGGACAGGUGGACUGCCCGCGUAUUGACGUCAGCGUGCACGGGUCAGCAGAGGAGCUUUCAUUCCUGGCGGCAUCCCAGGAAGAUCCAACCCAAGCAGCAGCUCAGCGGUCAUGUUAGGAGGGGAGACCUUGGCACGGAACCCCAAGAAGGCAUGUUCUUUUCAACGCAUGCGGCCCCAACUUCUUCAGCCCCUGGAAGUGGAGCAUGGUUCUCCUGGUGGCCUGUCCAAGGUGCCCUCAGGGCAAUCCUGCUCCUUCCAGUGCCCUGGACCCAGCAGCUGUCACUGGCCUGCUGGCACGACCCUGCAGUACCGCUAGGCGGCGCCAUCCGCGGUUAGUCGCACCAGGCAGGCAGAGCGCCCUGCAAACCCUUAUCCCAGAGCCAGCACUGGGGGCUCCACAGGUGCAGCGAACCUGGGAGGGCUGGAGGGCUGGUGAGCACCAGGAGGACGCAAGGAUCAUCCCAGGUAGCACCAGCUCCAGCAGCCUUGCUCUCCUGUCCUGUUCCUCCAGGGCCUGACUCCACUGACAGUUGGCCCAGUCAGCGAACUGUCUUAGGUUCCUGGCGGCCCCAGGGAGCCGCUGCUGGGGACAGCUGAGGGCAAUUGUGCAUCCAAGGCAGCUCGGCAGGUUGGGGGAUCUUGGAGCUCAAGAACAUGCCACUAACUCUGUCUGGCUGCCCUUCCGUUCCUAGAAAACCAAUCUAGGAGAUUGAGAUCGCUGCACCCCGGGCAGAAUGUAGGUUAAGGGCAGGUGCAGGUGGGCCCCUUGUUUUCUAGGGAGGGCAGCAAGGGAGGGAGUCCCUGAACAUGGGUGUCAGAGGGAAGGAACAAGAGAGCAAGGGAGCUUCCAGGGCAGUGCACCAUCUGCACCAGCCACGCCCCACUAUGGCGACAGCGGCUGUAGCACCUUCAGCAGUAGCUGCUGCUGCUGCUGCUGCCAGGCACCAGGUCCAGUCCACAAAUACUUUGGGCCUGAAAGUCCAACAGUCCUUUCAAUUGUCCUGCAGAGGCAGAAAUAUCUAGUCAGUAGGGCUGAACCUGAGGGUUCUUCCUCUUGGCCUGCCUCUUGGCUCUCAGACAUAAAGCCCUCUGAGACAAUGCCGGGGGUUCUUGGGGCAACCCCUGGGUGAAGAGAUUGCACCAGAGUGUCACAGCCCCUGCCAAAAAGAUGCUUCACAAAGGUCUGUGGCAUGAGCGCAACAAGUGACCUGUAGGAACCUGAUCAUCAGGCUCAACCAUGGCUUCCCGUCGAUUUCACACAUCAGCCUUGAUAGAGGAGUGGAAAUGUAGACGUUUCUAAAGUUGGAUAUUAAAAAUGGGGAGAGCUCAACAUUUUUCUGUGGAGCCCUGAAUCCAGAAAGGAGUCGGGAAUGAGAGGAUGGUAUUUAUUUCACAGACACUGAAAGAAGUCGGUAUUGAUUUGCCUCUGACAAAUACCAGUAGCGUCAUCAGCUUCAAUAUACCAUCAGCAAGAAGUACAGGCAGAAGAUUCUGAAGCAAAAAUCAUAACAGAAAAGACAUUAACUUCCAUAGAAUAUAAGGCUCUCGCAAGUUCUGAGCCAUUCCUUCUUGAUUGCAGUGAAGAGCAGAUCACACAUGUGCUAAUGUUGCUUUUCUGGGAGAAGAUGUAAGAGGGAAGACUUUUCUGGAAGAAUAGGACCUUCACCUAACUUCCAAAUCAGAAAUCAACCAUUCUAUGAGUCAGCUUUUCAUCAUUUGAAUGAAAUACCUGAGGCAACUGACAUAUAAAGACAAAAUGUUUAUCUUAUGAUCUUCUAACCCAAGCACUAAGGAUCCUUUGUUUUGCUCCUGUAGAAAGGGAAGCACAACAUGAUGUAAGCACAUGGCAGAGCAAGCUGCUCUCCUCAUGAGCUAGGAAGCCCUGGAGCACAGGCCGGGCCUACAAUCUCCUCUGGGGGAAAUGAACAGUGACCUGAGAACUUCCCAUUACCCUGACCUCUCCAGACUUGCACCGCCUCCAAAUCACACUGCCCUGUUGAUCAAGCCUGUAACAUAUGUGCCUGGAGAGUCUUCAACAUCCCAACCAAACAAAGCUACCCUUCACUGAGUGCAGUUAAUCAUGAAGCCCUGUUCCUAGGGGAGAGAAAGUAAAUACCAUGGUGACAGUUUCCUACUCAUAGGUGUCUUCAACUCUAUGUACUUCAAUAUUCACUAUUAUGUUGUCAAAUGGAAAUCCUGGAGAAAGUUCUGGAGAUUUUUGUGAAAUUCUUUUCAUGAACUCAGAAAAGAAAGAUAGGACAUAAAAAUAAUUAUCAAAUUUAAUCAUUAAUUAAUAAUUAAAUGAACUUACUUAUUAAAUAAUUAUUAAAGCUUCAUAUAGAGAAUUUCAGAGAAGACUAUAAAAAAUUAGUGAAUUCCACAACUGCCUUCAUUAAGAUGAAGAACAGCGGUAGUUCUUCUAGAACGAAGACAAAUUUGCAACUGUGAUGCCAUAUGAAGAGGACUUCUUUUCACUUGAUAUGUUUUGUAUUAAUAUUCACUGUCCUGUGUUACUUUGUUACCUGGCAUUCCCUCUUAUUUGGAUUCAGACUUGCCCAAUGCUACCCUAGAGUAGGAAAUAUUCAUACCAGAAAUACAAAUCAAUAAACUCCAGGAAGUACAUGCAAAGGAUCCACAUAUCUUUCAGUUCAUAAGAUUUUCAUUUUAUCUACAGACAUGAACAAUCAUUGAAAUAUUUCUAUGAAAGUUCAUCUUUCCAGGGAAGGAAGAUGCAGUCCUUCCUGUGAUUGUCUGUCUCCCUACCUGUGGAGUCUGUGCCUGUUCGGGGGAUUUUCAAAUAUUUGACAAGGGCCAGAAUUCCUUUGAUUGUUUAAAGCUAAGUCAUUAUUCUAAGUGUGCCCAGUUUUCAAUAACCAUAUAAUAAUUCUCCUAGGAAAUUUGUAUCAUCAUAAAGGGACAGUUAUCAAAAGAGUGAUAAAUACUUUCUUAUUUGGUAAAUUUUUCUAUAAUUUUUUUCUUUAGUAUUAAAUUGAGCUUACCAAAACUGGAAGUUAAAAAUGAGUAACAAUACUAGUGAAGCCUAGAUUUGUCAGCUUUUUCACUACAGUGAAGACCCAAUCUGAUCAGAAUUAUCUUAGGGGAGCAAAGUUUAUUUGGGGGCUCAUGAGUUCAGAGGUCUCAGUCCAUAGAGAGCAGGCUCCAUUCUUUGGAACCUCAGGUGAGGCAGAACAUCAUGGCAGAAGAGUGUGGCAGAGGGAAGUAGCUGACAGAAUGAUCAAGGCAUGAAAUCAAUGCACUCCACUCAAAAAUCAUCUCACCCUAGUUUCAAUUCUUGUGAAGGAAGUGCUGAAGUAUUUGAACAAUACUCCCGUGAAAUGACUGCAGAGCAGGGGAAAGUCCAGCACACAGAAAGGAAGUGUCUCACAUCCAUCCACUUCGGAGUCAAAGGCCUGGAAAUCCUAGGCUCUGGCAGAAGAGUGCACUGGUUUGUGUUCUCCAUGGGACUUUCUGGGCUUUGCGUGCCAAGGGGUCCCCUUGGUGGCUGGUAUGCCAUCCUGGCUGCUCUUCAGAUACUUGCGGGUGUCACAGGACAGGCGGACUGACAGCCCAAUGACGUCACCACGUGCCAGUCAUCCUAGGGGCUUCCUGACCUGGUGGCAUCCCAGGAAGAUCCAACACAAGCGGCAGCUCAGUGGUCACGUUAGGAGGGGAGACCUUGGGACCGAACCCCUUGAGGGCAUGUUCUUUUCAACACAAGCGGCCCCAACUCCUUCAGCCCCUGCAAUUGCAGAGUGGUUCUGCUGGUGCCCUGUCUAAUGUGCCCUCUGGGCACUCCUGCUCCUUCCAGGGCCCUGGACCCAGCUGUCACUAACCUGCCAGCACCCUGCAGUACCGCUAGGCGGCGCUGCCUGCAGUUGGUCGCACCAGGCAGGCCUAGUGCCAGAACACCCUGCCUCCUGGCGCCAGCCCACUGUGGACUCUGCAGGUGCAGCGAACCUGGGAGGGCUGGAGGGCUGGCGAGCACUAGGAGGACGCGAGGACCAACACGGGUAGCACCAGCCCCAGCGGCAUUGCCCUCCCAUCCUGCUCCUCCAGGUCCUGGCCCCGCUGAAAGUUGGCCCAGUCAGCGAAUUUGCCUGGGUUCCCAGCAGCCCUAGGGAGUGGCCACUGUGGACACAUGAGGGCAGUGGAGCAUCCAAAGCAGCUGGGCGGGUUAUGGGAACUUUGAGCUCCACCACCUCCUACCACCAGGUGCCCCUCCAUUCCUAGAAAGCCAGUUCUGGAGAUCAUUGCAACCUGGGCAGAAUGAAGGCUAAGGGCAGGUGGGUGGAUCUGUUGCUUUUUAGUGAGGGCAGCAGGGAGAGAGUACCUGAACAUGGGCGACAGAGGGAAGGAGCAAGAGAGCAAGGGAGCUUCCAGCAUGGUGCACCCUCUGCACCAGCCAGGCCCACUUUGGCGGCUGCAGCUGCCAAAGUAUUGUUCAAAUACUUCACAUCAUUCACCUCUGAACAUUCCUCCAUUAACUCAAAUGAGCUUUUCAGGCACACCUAAUCUCCAAACCACCACAUGCCACGCCAUAAAAAAGGUUAUGUCCAUCUCAUUAAGAGUCCUCCUAAUCUUAACAGUUUUGGCAACAGGUUGCAGUCAGCCAGGGUCAGCUUGCUGCUAUGUAGAAAUGGCACCUAGGAGAUGCCUUGAUCUUCAGAUCUGGUCUUCUGGAAGGAGAGAUGCCAAGUCAUUGUCUAAAACUUUCAGAACUUUUAGGAACCCCUUCUGGAGAGAUGAUCACUGAAGUGCUGAGUUUUAAUUCUGAAGGAAACUUGGCAAAUAUGACCAGCCCAGCUGUGUUACACUCAGAGUUCCAAGCUGCCAGUUUUGGGUACUUGGAAGGGCACGGCACAGCCUCCAGAAAUUGCUCAGUCUCAUAGGUAUGCAUGUGCACUCCUGUGCCAUACACCCCGAAUGGGAGCAGCCCUUCUAGGCACAGCUUUUGCACUUGGUUGGUUGGUGUCAGAGGUGGUGAUGUGGAAGGUGAGACUCCCUUUAGCCAGAGCAUUGUUGUCUGGAAAAAGGAGAGGUUUGGCCCCAUCAAUGCCAGUUUUAACAAUUCAACAUGGUUAUUCUACAGGUGUGGUUGUGUUAGGGACCAAAUAUUCACAAUUGCUGAAGGAGAUAGAAGGGGCUGUGGCGAGGGCCAGGGGAAUUCUGUCCUGCAAAUCCAGAGCUGUCUGCCCCUUAAUCACCACACAAGCCCAAUUAGACCAUCUCCCUGAAGACUGGACCUCUCCACCUGAUCAGAGCACACCACACUCUGCUUCUCCAGCUCUGUCUAAACUCAGACAUUUUCUGGAAAAGGAAGUCAUAUUUAGAAACUUGUUAUCUUUCCAACAUACAUAAUACAUUUAAAAUUGUGGCAUGGACAGGAAAGUCAAUUGUCUCAUCAAUGUAUCGGACAGGACAACACAGACAAAAAGCACUAAAGUACUUGCACUAUUUAUUUUUGUGUAAUUUUAAAGCAAGGCUGGAGUUGUGGCUCAGUGGUGGAGCACUUGCCUAGCACAUGUGAGGCCCUGGGUUCGAUCCUCAACACCACAUAAAAAUAAGUGAAUAAAAUAAAGGUAUUGUGUCCAACUACAACUAAAAAAUAAAAACAUAAAAUUUAAAGCAAUGAAUUGUUCAAUUUUCUUUAAAAGUAGUCCAUGAUUUUAUAUAUCUUAAUUUUUCAAAAAUUUGUGGCUCAGUAUCUUUGGAUGCUCCAAGUGGCUAGUGACUUUCUGGCAUUCUGCAUGAAUGCCAAGUUCAAACAACAGUUUUAGAUAAAUUCAGAUACUUACACUCCAAAUCUAUGCCAACAUAUGCAUUUAAGAGUACAUUUAAUGGGGCUGGGGUUGUGGCUUAGCCUUAGAGCACGCACCUAGCAAGUGGAAGGUCUUGGGUUCGAUCCUCAGCACCACAUAAAAAUAAAUGAAAUAAAAGUAUUGUGUCCAACUACAACUAAAAAAUAAAUAUUUUUUUAAAAGAGUACAUUUAAUGAAUGUUCACAACACAAAAAUUGAUAAACUGAGUACAUAUGUUCAAACAUCUCACUGUAUGUAAUAAAUAUGUAUAAUUAUUUUGUGUCGAUUUUUAAAUGUUUCCAAAAAA
rnacentral:lncRNA from 1 species